GCUUUUUUGUCACCGCCUCCUGCUGCAGCCGCAUGCUCUCGUGUGCUGUCCACGCGACGCGCAGUUCAGCUCCAGCGAACCGUUUAAGAGUACACUAUCCUCCAUCUAACAAUCACCAAGACCAUCAGCUGAGUCUCUUUUAUUUGGCAGCACUGAUGCAAAAUCUUUCAUAACAUAAGCUAUGAUAAAUCAUGACUUGCACUAAUCUCCUUCCUGUAGUGGUCAGCCUAACCAGUACCGGCCUGCUCUGGGAAUACCCUGGCUGCUGUGUCAUACCAGCUAACCGGAUACAGGCUGAGAAUAGCUGGAGAAGUUUCCCUGGCCUCAGCUUUGUUGUGUAAGGUCAUUCAGCUCAGCCAGGCCCCGAGCAGAGCCAAUAAUGGUCACUGCAUAGAUCUGUUAUGAAGAUGUAGGGAACAGAGAAAAGCAUCCAGCGGCUGGGGUUGCUGUGGCUGCCAAAUAACACAAUAAGAUAAGGCUACCCAGUCCCUUGUGCCGUCCUCCAAUAUCUGCAGCAAUGAGUUAAAGCCUGCUCCUUUUGUUUGCUUGGUGACAUCCCAUGGGCUAUUUAUAGGGACUGUGUUAUUGUGUAAGACCUUGUGAAAGACCCAAAGAGCCAGAGUACCGCCUCCCCACACACACACACACACACACACACACAC